UACGUAGGGGGCUAGCGUUGUCCGGAAUCAUUGGGCGUAAAGAGCGCGUAGGCGGCUAGAUAAGUCCGGUGUGAAAGUCACAGGCUCAACCUGUGAAUGCCGCUGGAAACUGUCUGGCUAGAGUCCGGAAGGGGCGAGUGGAAUUCCUGGUGUAGCGGUGAAAUGCGCAGAUAUCAGGAGGAACACCUACGGCGAAGGCAGCUCGCUGGGACGGUACUGACGCUGAGACGCGAAAGCGUGGGGAGCAAACAGG
rnacentral:rRNA from 1 species